GUGCAGCAGGCGAGAAACCUCCGCAAUGCUCGAAAGAGCGACGGGGGACUCCAAGUGCCUACGCUUUGCGUAGGCUUUUCCCAAGCCUAAAAAGCUUGGGGAAUAAGGGCUGGGUAAGACGGGUGCCAGCCGCCGCGGUAAUACCCGCAGCCCGAGUGGUGGCCGCUUUUAUUGGGCCUAAAGCGUCCGUAGCCGGUCUGGUAAAUGCCUGGGUAAAUCGUCUGGCUCAACCAGACGAAUUCCGGGUAGACUGCCAGACUAGGGACCGGAGGAAGGAGAGGGUACUCCGGGGGUAGGGGUGAAAUCCUGUAAUCCUCGGAGGACCACCGGUGGCGAAGGCGCUCUCCUAGGACGGGUCCGACGGUGAGGGACGAAAGCCAGGGGAGCAAACCGGAUUAGAUACCCGUGUAGU
rnacentral:rRNA from 1 species